GGAUGUGAGGAUAAUCUGGCUAUGACAUCCAUCACCCCAUUGAUCACCAGGGUUGAUUGGGCUGAUAUGGCUGGCUGGCAGGUGUCCCCUUCCUCUAUCACCCCUCCAUGUGUGUCCCUCCUGAAGUUGUGGAAAAAGACAUCCUUCCCCAAAUAGAGGAGAACUGGUCAAGGGUAGCUGCUACAUUCCUCUGCUAGAUCCUCCAGGCAAGCUCUCAAGAGAACCUCUUCAUUAAUUACUGUUGUUAUACUCACCCGACAUACACACACACUCCUAGAAAAAACUGAUAUAAAUUCAGGUUAUAUUCU
ensembl:misc_RNA 7SK 7SK RNA